GGAUGGCCCGCGUUGGAUUAGAUAGUUGGUGGGUAAUGGCCUACCAAGUCUACGAUCCAUAGCUGGUUUGAGAGGAUGAUCAGCCACACUGGGACUGAGACACGGCCCAGACUCCUACGGGAGGCAGCAGUGGGGAAUCUUAGACAAUGGGCGCAAGCCUGAUCUAGCCAUACCGCGUGAGUGAUGAAGGCCUUAGGGUCGUAAAGCUCUUUCGCCAGGGAAGAUAAUGACUGUACCUGGUAAAGAAGUCCCGGCUAACUCCGUGCCAGCAGCCGCGGUAAUACGGAGGGGACUAGCGUUGUUCGGAAUUACUGGGCGUAAAGCGCACGUAGGCGGACCGAAAAGUUGGGGGUGAAAUCCCAGGGCUCAACCCUGGAACUGCCUCCAAAACUGCCGGUCUAGAGUUCGAGAGAGGUGAGUGGAAUUCCGAGUGUAGAGGUGAAAUUCGUAGAUACUCGGAGGAACACCAGUGGCGAAGGCGGCUCACUGGCUCGAUACUGACGCUGAGGUGCGAAAGCGUGGGGAGCAAGCAGGAUUAGAUAACCCUGGUAGUCCACGCCGUAACGAUGAAUGCUAGACGUCAGGGGGCAUGCCCUUUGGUGUCGCAGCUAACGCAUUAAGCAUUCCGCCUGGGAGUACGUCGCA
rnacentral:rRNA from 1 species